rnacentral:piRNA from 1 species
UAAAUCCUGAGCCUAAUACCUGCUACAUAGU